UACAGAGGGGGCAAGCGUUGUUCGGAAUUACUGGGCGUAAAGUGUGCGCAGGCGGCCGAGCAAGUCGAGUGUGAAAGCCCCGAGCUUAACUUGGGAACUGCGCUCGAAACUACUUGGCUAGAGUGUGGCAGAGGGAGGUGGAAUUCCACGUGUAGAGGUGAAAUGCGUAGAGAUGUGGAGGAACACCGAUGGCGAAGGCAGCCUCCUGGGCCAACACUGACGCUCAUGCACGAAAGCGUGGGGAGCAAACAGG
rnacentral:rRNA from 1 species